rnacentral:rRNA from 1 species
UGGGGAAUAUUGCACAAUGGGCGCAAGCCUGAUGCAGCCAUGCCGCGUGUAUGAAGAAGGCCUUCGGGUUGUAAAGUACUUUCAGCGGGGAGGAAGGUGUUGAGGUUAAUAACCUCAGCAAUUGACGUUACCCGCAGAAGAAGCACCGGCUAACUCCGUGCCAGCAGCCGCGGUAAUACGGAGGGUGCAAGCGUUAAUCGGAAUUACUGGGCGUAAAGCGCACGCAGGCGGUCUGUCAGGUCGGAUGUGAAAUCCCCGGGCUCAACCUGGGAACUGCAUUCGAAACUGGCAGGCUAGAGUCUUGUAGAGGGGGGUAGAAUUCCAGGUGUAGCGGUGAAAUGCGUAGAGAUCUGGAGGAAUACCGGUGGCGAAGGCGGCCCCCUGGACAAAGACUGACGCUCAGGUGCGAAAGCGUGGGGAGCAAACA